GCUGGGCAUGGUGGUGCGUGCCUGUAAUCCCAGCUACUCAGGAGGCUGAGGCAGGAGAAUCGCUUGAACCCAGGAGGCUGAGGUUGCAGUGAGCCGAGAUCGCGCCAUUGCACUCCAGCCUGGGUAACAAGAGCGAAACUCCGUCUCAA
rnacentral:sRNA from 1 species